UAGGGAAUCUUCCGCAAUGGGCGAAAGCUUGACGGAGCAACGCCGCGUGAGUGAUGAAGGUCUUCGGAUCGUAAAACUCUGUUAUUAGGGAAGAACAAAUGUGUAAGUAACUAUGCACGUCUUGACGGUACCUAAUCAGAAAGCCACGGCUAACUACGUGCCAGCAGCCGCGGUAAUACGUAGGUGGCAAGCGUUAUCCGGAAUUAUUGGGCGUAAAGCGCGCGUAGGCGGUUUUUUAAGUCUGAUGUGAAAGCCCACGGCUCAACCGUGGAGGGUGAUUGGAAACUGGAAAACUUGAGUGCAGAAGAGGAAAGUGGAAUUCCAUGUGUAGCGGUGAAAUGCGCAGGGAUAUGGAGGAACACCAGUGGCGAAGGCGACUUUCUGGUCUGUAACUGACGCUGAUGUGCGAAAGCGUGGGGAUCAAACAGG
rnacentral:rRNA from 1 species